rnacentral:misc_RNA from 1 species
GAUGAAGAACGUAGCGAAAUGCGAUAAGUAAUGUGAAUUGCAGAAUUCAGUGAAUCAUCGAAUCUUUGAACGCACCUUGCGCUCUUUGGUAUUCCGAAGAGCAUGCCUGUUUGAGUGUCAUGAAAAUAUCAACCUUGACUUGGGUUUUGUGCUCUAGUCUCGGCUUGGAAUUGGGUGCUUGCCGCUUUUACGAGCGGCUCACCUUAAAUGUAUUAGCUGGAUCUGUCUUUGAGACUUGGUUUGACUUGGCGUAAUAAGUAUUUCGCUAAGGACCUUCUUCGGAGUGGCCUCGUUUCUAGGACGCUUGUCCGCUUUCCAAUACAAGUUCCACCUCGUGGACAUGACUUUUUAUUAUCUGGCCUCAAAUCAGGUAGGACUACCCGCUGAACUUAAGCAUAUCAAUAAGCGGAGGA